CUUACAGAAGAAGGCAGAUGAAGUCUUCUGUGUCCAGCUCAAGUGUAUCUUUUUAUCCCAGAUAGCUUGCGGCAUGACAGUGAUUUGAGUGACAGACGUCCAACCUGGAACAGUGCUAUGCAUACUUAUGUUUGUUUACAGGGCCUCAUCACUCCUGAAAGAUGUAAAUUUUAAAUUUGCUUUUAUUGGGAAAAAGAACUGUGAGGAAAAGGUUGUUACCUUGGAAUGCAAUGUCAAAGUUAUUGUAAGGCUCUGUCUUUCAUAAAAAUGUUACCAAGUUUUUAAA